rnacentral:misc_RNA from 1 species
CAACCCUCAAGCUCUGCUUGGUGUUGGGCAGCACCGCCCGGUGCGCCCCAAAACAAGUGGCGGCGCCGUCUGGCUUCAAGCGUAGUAACACUUCUCGCUUCGGGACCAGGCGUGCUCCUGCCAGCAACCCCCACACUUCAAAGG